UACGUAGGGUGCGAGCGUUGUCCGGAAUUAUUGGGCGUAAAGGGCUCGUAGGCGGUCUGUCGCGUCGGGAGUGAAAACUCAGGGCUUAACCCUGAGCCUGCUUCCGAUACGGGCAGACUAGAGGUAUGCAGGGGAGAACGGAAUUCCUGGUGUAGCGGUGGAGUGCGCAGAUAUCAGGAGGAACACCGGUGGCGAAGGCGGUUCUCUGGGCAUUACCUGACGCUGAGGAGCGAAAGCGUGGGGAGCGAUCCGG
rnacentral:rRNA from 1 species